AGUUGGCAUUGUUCUAGAGAAUAAUUGCGAUCUAAAGUUCUAAGCUAUUGUAUCUGCUCUAACAAUUGUAACCAAGAUCAAGGUCCAUCUGAAGUGUAAUUUUUGAUGCAUGCUGCUAGCUAGGUAUAUACAGUUGCAAACCAGCUUUGUCUACCACAAUGUUUAACUGCUGUUUCUUGUGCUCAGUUACUUCCAAUACGUUUAGGUCAGCUAGUAAUAUGUACAUGAGGGUUGGCAAAUGGGUUUCUGAUAAAUUCUGUGUUUGGGUUGUCGGAGUUUGUUCUCCUGGUCCUGGGUAUUUAGAGUUUUAUUUAAGAGAUGGGGGGAAAUUAGAUAUUGAUGGGAAGCAAUCUAUGAUGCUCGGGUUUAGCAUUCCUAAUUUCUUUAGGGUGUAAUCACCCAUUGAUUAGGUUAAAAUUUUAUUCUCAUGGUUAGAUGGCAGUGGAAAGGUUCCAUAGGUAAGGCUUCCACUGAUCUGAUGGCGAUUUUAAUCCUUAUAACUAGAUGGUUCUGGGGUGGAAAUGCCAUCCUGUUUGGACUCCAACACUCAAACAUUGCAUUGUAAUUUAUUGGUUUUUUAUCUAUGUUUUGUGCUUGAUAUCAAUUUCUGGUUUGGACUGUUUCGAAUUGGCUUGCUGUGUUUUGUUAACUAAAGGGUAUUAUUCAUGUGAGAAAGUCAAUGGCACCAACAAGUACCUGUGUAGAUCUAGAGAAGAAGAAGAGGAAUAAUGAGAAGGAAGAAGGAAGAAGGAAGAAGGAAGAAGGAAGAAGGAAGAAGGAAGAAGAGAAGCUGAUCGGUUAGGGUGUUAGGAUACCCUAAUGGGUCACAAGGUUUAUAUUUAUAACAUAAAUAUGAUGGUUGAUUACAAUAAACUCCUCAGCAUAUGAGUAAUUACUCAUAUACCCCUAAAAUACAGGAAACACUUCAAUCAUGGUUUAGUGGCCCUAUGACCAAGUUAGGUUUUGAAACUUGUCAACCAGCCUAUUUUAGGCCUUCUAAACACAGUGAAAAUAUUGUAUUUAAAAAUCAAAUAUAAAAUGGUACUUUAACUUUGGACCCUAGGUUUGAUGCAUUUACGCAUCCGUGGGGCAAUCCAUACCCAUCUGGACUGGGCUCCUUCAUUCUUGGGCCAGCCCUCCUUGCACUGCCAAUCAUGACUUUGUAAUAUGUCCCUUGAGCAACAGUAGCUGGGAUGUUGUUAUAGAAUAAGAACGUGGACAUUGCAUCACCAAGUUUGUCUCUCUAAAACACCCUAGACUUGCUUUAUGGUUCUUUGUCUAAUAUUCCGCUGCCUGUACGCGAGAGGAUCUUAUUGAAGAACCUUAAUGGGAUAAUCAUGUUGGGCUGGGGGUGCGGCUGCCCUCACUCUGGGUUCUCCUGAAAGGUAAAUCCCCUUGCAUUUGCUUCUUCCUUUCUCCUGCGGGCCGUGCAUCUGACGCAGCUACUCUAGAGCCAAAGCCAUGUGCUCCUUUCCCCAUCUCUACCUGCCUAACCCUCUCCAUCUGAUGUGAGAGCCUCCCUAGCUUGUUGGUACUGUCUCCACUUUGCUUGCAUUUCAUAAUCAUCAAGCUUGUAAUCAUUGUUAGAGUCAUUAGAAGCAGCCCCUGUUGUUCAUGGUUGUCUCUCUAAGCCCGCCUCUUCAUACUCUUCUUCUGCCUUCUUUAGUCUUCCUCCCUUUGAAGUGUUUAGACAUGGCCUGUUGCACCUAAUAAGAAACUUUGGUGCAUUUUUCCCCAUCACUUGCCCACUAGCAAAAUGUUGCUUCAAUAUAGUGGCCCCUCUAAAAAUUUUGCAUUUUCCUACAAACCUACAUCUUAACUUUUUCUUGUCAUUUCCUAUUGGCUCUCCGUGCAACCAUGCUAUAUCUCAACCUCUGGCUUUGAAGGCCAUCUCCUCCUGUAUUGGCAAUGGUGCCGAGGUAUAUCUACUCCUCUGGUCUAGGCCGAUCUGCCACUGUUGCUUCCAUCAUCUCUGAUAAUGGAUGGUCUCCCCUUCCUCUCCUCCCCCCUCCUGGAUCUGUGGUCCUCUCUCCCUCCCCUCCCCCUGGGUCACAGGGGCAGAGAGGACAAGAUUAUCUGGAUCCCAUUUGCCACUGGAUCCUUCACUUCUGCCUCUGCUUAGGACUUUAUUAGAUCCAAAGGGCUUCUAGCCCCUUGGUGGAACAUCAUUUGGUUCAAAGGCCACAUCCCCUGCUACAACUUUACGACCUGGCGUGCAAUCUCCAACUGCCUUCCUACGCAAUCUUUCCUCAUUUACUGACACAUUCCUGCUCCCCCUUCUUUCUGUCUAUGUUGGAAUGGAAAUGAGGAUGUCAAUCACCUAUUCUUUCCCUAUCCCUUUUCCACCUAUGUUUGGAAGAGAGUGCUCCUUAAGUGCUGGCCUUCUAGAAGAAUCAUCCUCCCUUUUGCUAAAGAAUGGAUCUGGAUCGACAUGACCUUUGCCGGUGCAUCUAUUUGUGAUACUAUAGGGAAGCUUGCUUUCUGUGUCACCAUCAACCAUAUUUGGAUGGAGAGAAAUCUUUGUAAAUGGACUUCCUACUCUCGAUCAUUCGACAUGAUUUGGAAAGCCAUCUUCUUUGAUAUCACCUCCAAUAUGAGAUCCCUCCAUCAUCGUACCGUCCAAAACACCCCAAGGAACAAGCUCAUUGUUGUCUCCUGGGGCCUCCCGUCUUCUAUCAUUUUCCCCACCCCUCCUCCAUAGACUGGUUUAGUUUUGUUCGGGCCUCUUGCGGUGUUGUGCCAAGGCUUGUUUGUUUGUUUGUUCUGUUUUGCUUCAUCGGGCAAGUUGGCCCUCCCCCCCCCCGGCCCCAAUUCACCCUUGUAUAUUCUUCUACUUCUUGGUAAUGAAUUUAUUUCUUCAUAAAAAAAAAUUGCUACAUCACUCACCUCCACCUUCAGCCAUUAUGUAGCAAUAUUAAACCUUUUUUCAUUGUUACAUAAAACAUUGCAUGUAUUAUUAACUAUUCAACAUCAUUUCAAAGUUCUAAAACAACAAUAUAGGUAUUUCCUAUUUUUUCCCCAACACUUGUAUUGUUUUCAUAAUUAAAAAUAUUUUUAUGUUAAAAAUAAAAGAAUAAUACCAUAGUUAAUAAAAUAUUAUAAUGGAACGAAAUAAAAGUCAUCAUUUUCAAGUUGAAAUACAGUAACAAUGCUUUCAUUAAUUUUAAACAAUUUUUAAACCAAAACAAAUUCACCCCCCCUUUUGGAUUUUCCUUUACUUUUUAAAAUAAUUUUAAAUUUCAGAAAUGAAAAUAAAUAGUUUCCUAACUGAAAAAAAGUGACUCCAUGAGACCUGUAGGUUGACCAACAGUGUCGAACAUACAUAAAAAUGAGAACCAAAUAAUGACUAUUAACUCUAUUUUUUUUUCCAGAAAAAUAAAAAAUAAUUAGAAAACAGAAAAUGCAAACGAACUCUUAUCACGUCAUGGAUCGGGCAACAUUGUUUAACAUAUAAAAACUUUAAUCCCAUCAGCCAAGUAUGUUUCAUCAUUUAUUUUGCAAAAAAAAAAAAAAAAAAAAAAAAAAAGUUUUUUAGAAAUUUUUGUUACCUUCAAGUGUCGUUGGGCAGAAAAGUUACUCCAAAUGUUGUUGUUGGUCUGUCAAUCCACUUGUUCCAAGCUCCUUUGGCAUGAUUUGCCCAAAAAUAGCGGCAAAAAUCAAAUUUGGAGUGUGUUCUUCAAAACAGGGCAAGAGGAGUUGAGUUCACCGAUGUUGGGUCGAAAUUUCAACCUAAUUUAAUUGAGAUGAUGCUUUUAUAUAGGGUCAUGUGGGUGGUUUUGAUUGAGGCGACGACACAAAAAAUAGUACCGACGAAAUCUCGGUGGAGAUUUUGUAUAUUUUGUGUAUCUUACAUGGUUUCGACUCAUUGAGACCUCGAACCGUGACUACAAUUAAUACCAAAAUAUACCCUAUGGUAUAUAACUUCAACACUCUCUCAAGUUGGAGCAUAAAUCCCAUGCCCCAGCUUGGAACAACCUUAAAGAAAUACAUUGUUGAAUAAGGCUUUGGCAAACAACUCACCAAGUUGAUUCGUAGAAUUGACAAACGGAAUGGAGAUCAACUUCCUGGUCACGACAUCUCUCGUAAAAUGACAAUCAACUUCAAUAUGCUUGGUCCAUUUAUUGAAGGUAGUAUUACUAGCUAUGUAGAUAGUUGUUUGAUUAAUGACUAUCACAAUACAUGUCAAUAGGCUUGCUGAUCAGAAAACGGUUCUCCAAAAAAACUGAUCUUAACCACAUUAAUUCAGCUGCAGUAUGAACCAGCUUUAUGCUUAGCUUCAGCAUUCGACCUAGCCACUAUAAUUUGUUUCUUACUCUUCCAAGUUACAAGAUUACCACCAACAAACGUAUGGUAACUAGUGGUAGGCCUCGUGUCACCUUCAGCAAAUGCCUAGUAGGCUUCAAAAUAACUAAUAUGAUCAAUAUGGUUAUGAGGUUUAUAAAUGAGGCCCUUUCUUGGAGCACCCUUGAUACAUCUCAAAAUACGACAUGCUGCCUCCUAGUGAACCUGUUUGAGUUUCUCAAUGAAGUGCAACCAUGGUUCAAGAUCUCGACGAGAACUCGUUUUUUGAAAAUAACGAGAUGAACUAUAGGCGAGGUGAGACAUUUGCCACUUGACUCGGUAUCGGUCUAGUUUUGAUCCAAACUUGGCCCAACCAAGGCAUAUAAAGCAAGGCUUCGACCCAAAUGAAGAGAGAUCUCACUGGUUUCGCCUGGAUCUCACUGGUUUCGACUCUUGGAGCUAUAUUUUGGGAGAAAAUCACCAUAAAGCUGUUGAUUAGGUGUUUCUUCUUGGAGAUUUUCCUUGUUACAGUCAUUGAUGCAAAGAUUUUCAACCUUGGUGGUGAUUUUUCUUCUCAAGAACCCUAUUAAGGUAAAAUUUCUUCCCAAACCCAUAUUUUUCAUAGAAACAUCAUCAAAUCUUGUUUUUGGCCAUUGAUUUUUUUUAUAUGUGAUGCUACUAAGUGUGAUCUAUAGAUUUAUGGAAGAAAAAUAUUUUUUUGUUUGUAAAAUAAUUUUUUUAUUUUCUGUUUAAAUAAAUACUUUUCUUGCAAAAAUAAAAUUGAAAAAAAAUAUGAUUUAUAUAUGAUGUUAGGUACUCAAUUUUUUUAUAUGAUGCUCACCAAAGGCUGAUCUACAGUCUCAUGGUGUCUAUUUUUUUUUUUCUAGUCAAGAAAUUAAUUAAUGUUUUUUUUUUUUGAAAUAUAUAGUAUAUAAUGAUUACAGAAAAAUAAAAAAAUAUGAAAAAAAUUUCUGUUUUGUAUGGAAGAUUACUUUAAUGUAGUGUAAAUAUUGUUAGUGUAUUUUGAAACGAAAAUUCACUAUACUAUACUUUAUUAUUAACUAUGAUAUUAUUAUUAAUAAAAAAUAUGAUUUAAAAUUAAGAAAAAAUGAUAAAAAGUAGGAGAUUAAUAUAUAAUAGAUAUAUGAUAUUGAAUAGCUCUUAAUGCAUUCUUUAAUAUAGUAUUGAUGUUGUAUAGUUACUAAUUCAUGCACGUAGACUCAUAUGUAAUAAUGUUGAAGUUGGGGCACAAUUUCUAGUAUUGGAGGUGGAGAUAUUGCAUGGUUACAUGGAGAUCCAAUGUCAGAUGACAAAAAAAAAAUCAAGGUGUAGGUAUUGUAAGAAAAUGAUAAAUUCUGGAGGUGCUGCUAGGUUGAAGCAACAUUUGGCUGGGGGGUACAAGGAUGUUGCCAAAUGCCCCCAAGCUUCAUAUGAAGUGCAAAAACAAGUGCAGUGGAGCCUACACGGUGGAAGUUUAAAGAGGACAGAGAAACAAAGGUUGGAUCAAGAAUUCGAUGAGGCAGUCUUAGAGAGGCAACCAACAACAAUGGAUGUUGACUCUGAUGACUCUGAUUCUGAUAGUGAAUAUAGGCUAGAUCGAGGUAUGACAAGGGCAGAGUGGAGAUAAUUGCAACAAGUUAAGGUAGCAAGCAGGAUCUCUCAUAAAAUGGAAAAGGUUAGACAGGUAAAGAUGAAGAGAGGAGUAGGUGGCUUUGGUUCUAGAGCAGUUGCUGUUGCACAGAUGUUCCUCCCAUAGAGGAAAGAAGGAAUAAGAAGUAGAGGAAUGUAGAUGUGCCUUAUAGGAGAACUUAGAGUGUGAGGGCUGCCACACCCUCAUCACCACCCCCAAGACAGCAUGAUGAGCCUGAUGAGGUCCUGAGGCAAGACCUCUGAUAUAUAGACAAUAGGAAUACAAGACAAAGAACUAUGAAGCAAGUAUGGGGUACAUGGAAACAACUUGAGGAUGCUAUGUCAAAAAGAUUUUUCUAUAAUAGCAUCCCAGCUAGUGCUGCAUACGGGACAUAUUACCAGUCCAUGAUUGACACUGCUGGAAGGGCUGGUCUAGGAACAAAGGGGCCCACUCUUUAUGAGAUGAGAUGAGAUGAUGAAUGUUUAUUUGCCUCAUCAAAAGGAGUUGGAUGAGUAUAUUAAUGGCUUGAAGACUCAGUGGGAACGAUAUGGAGUUAUUGUGAUGUAUGAUGGUUGGACUAGACCAACUAGACAGUCCAUCAACUUCAUGGUGUAUUGUGAUGGGAAGACUCUCUUUUUAAAGUUUGUUGAUGCAUCCAUAGAGAAGAAUGAUGCAAGCCAUGCAAUGUACUUAUGCAAGUUAUUAAAGGAUGUUGUUACAGAGGUGGGGCCUGAGAAUGUUAUUCAAAUUGUGUUAGACAAUGGGAGCAACUUAAAAAAAGCGGGGGAGAGACUGACGAAUAGGAAGAGCAAACGGAUUCACAUUUUCUGGACACCAUGUAGCCCACUAAAUUGACUUAAUGCUUAAAGACAUGGGGAAGAAGUCUUUGGUAUCAGGUGUGGUCGAACGGGUAAGACAAGUGAUGACAUUUGUUUAGAACCAUGGAUAUUCUCUAUCUUUGUCGAGAGAAAAAUGAGGUGGAGAUUUGGUAAGACCAGACAUUACCCGAUUUGCAACCAACUACAUUGCUUUGAAGUGCUUUCAGGAUAAGAUGGUUGGUUUGAGAUCCAUAUUUUCCAGUGAGGAGUGGUUUUUGGAUGGAGGGAAUUGGGUUCGCUAGGUGGUAGGGCAGCACAGGCCACCAUCUCUAGUGAACAAUUCUGGAAGGAUGUGAAGAAGGUCCUUUUUAUAUUUGGCCCAGUUGUAACUGUCUUGAGAUUGGUAGACUCAGAGAGGCAGCUUACCUUGCCAUAUGUGUAUGCUGUAAUGGAGAAGAUGAAUGAGAAGGUGAGAGCAUCCAUUCUUAGAUGUGCAAAAUCUUAGAUAAAAAUGAUUAAGGAGAGAUGGGGGAAACAUUUGAUGCAUCCAUUGCAUAAAGCUGGAGAGUUUAUAAACUUAACUAUAGUCCAAGUUAAAGUUACUUUGCAUUCAAUAACAAGUUAUUUAUGGAAUUUUUGCAGCGUAUUAUCUCAAUCCUAGGCUCCACUAUAACUACAAUCUAGGAAUGGAUGAUGUAUUGUUAGAAGCAGUGGAACUUGUGGUGGCAAAGUUGGUCCCUAAACCUGAUCUACAUGCAACAUGCAACACUGAGAUAAAGGAAUUCAGGGAUGCUACUAGGAGUUUUGGUUGGGUAGCGGCAGUGGCUGGAAGACAAAGUAUUGCCCCUGGUGAAUGGUGGGUCCUCUAUGGAAAAGAUGCACCUAACUUGAGGAAGAUAGUAAUCCAGGUGCUCUCCUAAACUUGUUCUGUAUCUGGAUGUGAGUGCUGGAUCCACACCAAGAGUUGGAACCGAAUGGGUUACGAAAAGCUACAACAGUUAGUGUUUGUGCAUUACAAUAUGAGAUUGAAGAUGUAGCACAUACGUUAAGGCAUGGAGGGUAACAGUGAAGUAAUUGAACUUGCUCAUGUUUUCCAAGAAGACUCAGAUGAGGAGGAUGAUCCCCUAUACCAAUGGGUGAAGGAUAGAGGUGAGUCACUUAUGGAUUGGCCUGGGAGUAGGCCUGACCCCGUGGUAGCUAGCCAGAUGGGUACUGACGUGGAUGAGUAUAUGUAUGAAGAGGGCCGUGUGCUUUCACAGGUAUCCAGGCCUUCCGAGUCCCAAGCUACUGGGGUUGAUGUGGGGUUUGAGACUGUUUGGUCAUGGUCAGUGAUGAUGAUGAUGGUGGUGCAGGACUUGGUGGUGGUGGUAGUAGUGGAGUCCAUGAUGGUGAUGGUGAUGGUAAUGAUGGUGGUGAUGGGGGGAUGUGCGAGUGGUACCAUUACAUUGAACCGGAGCAAGAGCUGGUGCGGUUCACAGGAGAGACUCAGUUCACUCAUGCCACACAAGACAUGGACCACGGCGCAUCACGCACGUUCCCCCGCACCUUACAAGAGAGGCUCAUAUCGUCGAUUCAUAGUUGGUGGAGAGGAGCAGGAUAGCGUGGACUCUGGUCAUCUCUAUUAGGGGCUUAACUGACACUCUAGGAGGCUUAAGCAUGAAGAGUGGUAUUUGUGGGGAGCAAUUGCAUGCACCGUCAGCUAUAUAUGGCACAGGGAUAACCGGUUCGGACUAUAGUCAUUAUAGUCAAUUUGGCCAAUUUGGACACCCGCAUGCCAGCUCCUUCCCCUCUGCCAUUGAGUAUGAGGGUCAGUCACGCUCCCACAUUGGGCCAGGUUUUGUGGAUAGCAUCUUCGGGGUUCCAGAGCCCCAAUCAUACAUGCCGGUGCAGGUUUCCAUCCGUUAAGCACCAACCAGCUACUAUGUAUCUCGUUCCAGCUCAUUUAGUUUUAGAGAUAUCUACCCAAGGAUUCCAGUUUGUUGGUGAUGAUGUUUAUAAGGCUGCUGUGGCAGACUUUGGGUAUUAUUUCUGCCAUACUAUGGCAUGGCCACUCUUUGUGAUUCAAUCAGAGCAGAACAUACAUCGACAUCAGCAUCAACAAUAUGGAGGCUAUGAUGAUACGGCCCAACACUCAUUUUAGUACUAAGAGUCUUGGUCUCUAGGAUGGAGUCUAAAUUUCUAGUUGUCUGCUAUAUCAGUAUAUCUAUGUUAGUUAUUACUAAUAUAUACUUUAUACAACGAUGUUGUUAUUUGUUAUGCUAAUGUCGCUCAUGUUAUGUCAUUACAAUUUUUCAAUGUAUGUGACUCAUCAAUCUUCAAUAGUAAUUAGAAAUGAUGACUACUAUAUUCUA